UACGAAGGGGGGCUAGCGUUGUUCGGAAUUACUGGGCGUAAAGCGCACGUAGGCGGAUAUUUAAGUCGGGGGUGAAAUCCCGGGGCUCAACCCCGGAACUGCCUUCGAUACUGGGUAUCUUGAGUUCGGAAGAGGUGAGUGGAAUUGCGAGUGUAGAGGUGAAAUUCGUAGAUAUUCGCAGGAACACCAAUGGCGAAGGCAGCUUGCUGGCAUGUUUCUGACGCUAAGGCACGAAAGCGUGGGGGAGCGAACAGG
rnacentral:rRNA from 1 species